UGUGAGUACACUUACCAUGUUUUAACCUAUAUCACAUUAAUUUGUUUUUAACAUAUUCAUGUGAACAAUUCUAAGAGAUUUUGAAACCAAUUUCAAAACAGGUGGUGGUUCUGAUGAUAAGACAGCAUGAUAACUCAUUAGUAAAUGAUCCCAACAUUUAUUUGCUCUCCUGUAGGAUAUGUUAGCUAAAGUGGAGUACGGAGGAAGUCAAAAAUACAUCAAGAUUCCACAGUCUGAUGAAAGCUUGGCAUAUAAACGAUUUCUUCAAGACAUUGCCAAAAAAAAAUUAGCCUGCAACCUGAAAGCCUGAGAGAGGGUCAGCUCAUCUUAACUGAUGAAUCAGGAACAGAAGUAGAUGAAGAUAUCUUUGAGGAGCUUGUGAAGUCAGGUGUACUGAAUUUUAAUAUUGUCUAAUUUCAAGUUUUAGUAUAAAUUAACUUAAGGAAACUUAAUGUUGCAUUGAAUUAUGUUUUUGAAGAUGGUUGAAGAUGUCCUUAAGGCCAAUCCAAAGGGUGAAGAAAUCUUCAAGGAGUAUGACAAGAUCAAAACUCCUAACUGAUGGAAAACGGAAUGAAAUGGUGAACAUCCUGGUUGCUGAUAUGAUCAAGACACAUGGGAUUCCACCAUCAAGUGCACAAACUAAUUAUGCCCUGGGAAUUGUGACCUCCAAGAUCCAUACUCUGAAAAUGGAUAUGAACACUACUAUGAUGCUGUGGGUAACACUGGCUACCUAGCAUGGAGGAUUAAGACCGUUCAGCGCAACUCCUCUUUUGGGUCCCAGAGUUAUCCAAGGCCAUCUUAUCAAGAUAGUCCAAGAAGCAGACGAAGCAGAUGAAAAUUGUGUGUCUACUUUUUCUAAGAUUGACCAGGACUUCGCCGUGAUGUUUGGAAAAGGGGUGUCCAGUAGGUUUCUAGCGAAGUGGCCUACUUUUUCAUAAGUGACUGCAGGACACUCUCCCCAAAUCAGUAUGCUGAGGAACUGCUGCGACCAAUAGAACCCCAA